rnacentral:rRNA from 1 species
AGAGUUUGAUCCUGGCUCAGGAUUAAUGCUGGCGGUACGUCUAAUACAUGCAAGUCGAACGGAGCACUUGUGCUCAGUGGCGAACGGGUGAGUAACACGUAGGUAACCUGCCCUUAAGACGAGGAUAACUCUUGGAAACGAGAGCUAAUACUGGAUUGGAAGCGGACUCGGCAUCGAGACCGUUUAAAAGAUGCGAUUAGCAUCGCUUAAGGAGGGGCCUGCGGCGCAUUAGUUAGUUGGUGAGGUAACGGCCCACCAAGACAAUGAUGCGUAGCUGGACUGAGAGGUUGAACAGCCACACUGGGACUGAGAACGGCCCAGACUCCUACGGGAGGCAGCAGUAGAGAAUCUUCGGCAAUGGGGGGAACCCUGACCGAGCGAUACCGCGUGAUCGAAGAAAUACUUCGGUAUGUAAAGAUCUUUUACAAAGGAUGAAUGGUUCUGAUAGGAAAUGAUCAGAAAGUGACAGUACUUUAGGAAUAAGCCCCGGCUAACUAUGUGCCAGCAGCCGCGGUAAUACAUAGGGGGCAAGCGUUAUCCGGAAUUAUUGGGCGUAAAGGGUGCGUAGGCGGCUAUUUAAGUUCAUGGUCUAAAUUCAAGGCUCAACCUUGAAUCGCUUUGAAAACUGGAUAGCUUGAGAGAGGUAGAGGCAAGUGGAAUUCCAUGUGUAGCGGUAAAAUGCGUAAAUAUAUGGAGGAACACCAGUGGCGAAGGCGGCUUGCUGGGCCUUAUCUGACGCUGAUGCACGAAAGCGUGGGGAGCAAACAGGAUUAGAUACCCUGGUAGUCCACGCCGUAAACGAUGAGUACUAAGUGUCGGAAGAAUCCGGUGCUGCAGUUAACGCAUUAAGUACUCCGCCUGAGUAGUACGUGCGCAAGCAUAAAACUCAAAGGAAUUGGCGGGACCUCGCACAAGCGGUGGAUCAUGUUGUUUAAUUCGACGAUACGCGAAGAACCUUACCAGGCCUUGACAUACCGAGCGAUGCUAUGGAAACAUAGUGGAGGUUAACUGGGAUACAGGUGGUGCAUGGUUGUCGUCAGCUCGUGUCGUGAGAUGUUGGGUUAA